AGUGGAUUAGCGGCGGACGGGUGAGUAACACGUGGGUAACCUGCCUCAAAGUGGGGGAUAGCCUUCCGAAAGGAAGAUUAAUACCGCAUAACAUAAGAGAAUCGCAUGAUUUUCUUAUCAAAGAUUUAUUGCUUUGAGAUGGACCCGCGGCGCAUUAGCUAGUUGGUAAGGUAACGGCUUACCAAGGCAACGAUGCGUAGCCGACCUGAGAGGGUGAUCGGCCACAUUGGAACUGAGACACGGUCCAGACUCCUACGGGAGGCAGCAGUGGGGAAUAUUGCGCAAUGGGGGAAACCCUGACGCAGCAACGCCGCGUGGGUGAUGAAGGUCUUCGGAUUGUAAAGCCCUGUUUUCUGGGACGAUAAUGACGGUACCAGAGGAGGAAGCCACGGCUAACUACGUGCCAGCAGCCGCGGUAAUACGUAGGUGGCGAGCGUUGUCCGGAUUUACUGGGCGUAAAGGGUGCGUAGGCGGAUGUUUAAGUGGGAUGUGAAAUCCCCGGGCUUAACCUGGGGGCUGCAUUCCAAACUGGAUAUCUAGAGUGCAGGAGAGGAAAGCGGAAUUCCUAGUGUAGCGGUGAAAUGCGUAGAGAUUAGGAAGAACACCAGUGGCGAAGGCGGCUUUCUGGACUGUAACUGACGCUGAGGCACGAAAGCGUGGGUAGCAAACAGGAUUAGAUACCCUGGUAGUCCACGCCGUAAACGAUGGAUACUAGGUGUAGGGGGUAUCAACUCCCCCUGUGCCGCAGUUAACACAAUAAGUAUCCCGCCUGGGGAGUACGGUCGCAAGAUUAAAACUCAAAGGAAUUGACGGGGGCCCGCACAAGCRGCGGAGCAUGUGGUUUAAUUCGAAGCAACGCGAAGAACCUUACCUGGACUUGACAUCCCUUGCAUAGCCUAGAGAUAGGUGAAGCCCUUCGGGGCAAGGAGACAGGUGGUGCAUGGUUGUCGUCAGCUCGUGUCGUGAGAUGUUAGGUUAAGUCCUGCAACGAGCGCAACCCUUGUUAUUAGUUGCUACCAUUAAGUUGAGCACUCUAAUGAGACUGCCUGGGUAACCAGGAGGAAGGUGGGGAUGACGUCAA
rnacentral:rRNA from 1 species